rnacentral:tRNA from 1 species
ACCUGCCUGGCUCAGUCGGAAGAGCGCGCAACUCUUAAUCUCAGGAUCGUGGGUUCAAGCCCCACGUUGGGUG